CGGUCUGAUCAAGCGUCUCUAAGGGCAUUUGGUGGAUGCCUUGGCGUUGAGAGGCGAUGAAGGACGUGACACGCUGCGAUAAGCCAUGGGGAGCUGCGAGUAAGCUUUGAUCCGUGGAUUUCCGAAUGGGGAAACCCGACCAUUUAGGUCAUCCUGCAAGGGAAGCGAACCCGGGGAACUGAAAUAUCUAAGUACCCGGAGGAAAGGACAUCAACCGAGACUCCGUUAGUAGUGACGAGCGAACGCGGACCAGGCCAGUGGCCUGAGAGAAGACAACCAGAAGUGUCUGGAAAGGCACGCCAUAGUGGGUGAUAGCCCCGUAUGGGUAAUGCUUCUCUCAGGUCCUCGAGUAGGGCGGGACACGUGAAAUCCUGUCUGAACACGGGGGGACCACCCUCCAAGCCUAAGUACUCCUCAACGACCGAUAGCGAACCAGUACCGUGAGGGAAAGGUGAAAAGCACCCCGAUGAGGGGAGUGAAAUAGACCUGAAACCGAAUGCCUACAAUCAGUCGGAGCCAUCUCGAGUGGUGACGGCGUACCUUUUGUAUAAUGGGUCAGCGAGUUACUUUGACGAGCAAGCCUAAGCCGUUAGGUGUAAGCGAAGCGAAAGCGAGUCUGAAUAGGGCGUAUAGUUCGUUGGAGUAGACCCGAAACCGGGUGAUCUAGCCAUGGGCAGGUUGAAGGUACGGUAACACGUACUGAAGGACCGAACCCACGUCUGUUGAAAAAGACGGGGAUGACCUGUGGCUAGGGGUGAAAGGCCAAUCAAACCCGGAGAUAGCUGGUUCUCUGCGAAAACUAUUUAGGUAGUGCGUCAUGUAUUACCGUCGGGGGUAGAGCACUGGAUGGGCUAGGGGGGCGCGAGCCUUACCAAACCUAACCAAACUCCGAAUACCGAUAAGUACAGCAUGGCAGACAGACUAUGGGUGCUAAGGUCCAUAGUCGAGAGGGAAACAGCCCAGACCUCCAGCUAAGGUCCCUAAAUUGUGGCUAAGUGGGAAAGGAUGUGGGAAGGCCAAGACAGCCAGGAGGUUGGCUUAGAAGCAGCCAUCCUUUAAAGAAAGCGUAACAGCUCACUGGUCUAGACAAGCCGGCCUGCGCCGAAGAUGUAACGGGGCUCAAGCCACAUACCGAAGCUGAGGACGUGAUUUAUCACGUGGUAGCAGAGCGUUCUGUAGGCCUGUGAAGCGUAACCGUGAGGUUGCGUGGAGGUAUCAGAAGUGAGAAUGCUGACAUGAGUAGCGACAAAGAGUGUGAGAAACACUCUCGCCGUAAGCCCAAGGGUUCCUGCGCAAGGCUAAUCCGCGCAGGGUGAGUCGGCCCCUAAGACGAGGGCGAAAGCCGUAGUCGAUGGGAAUCAGGUUAAUAUUCCUGAACCUGUUGGUAGUGACGGAUGACGUAAGUUGUACAUGCUUAUCGGAUUGUUGUGUGCAGCGAAGUUGUCCCAGGAAAUAGCUCCAACAUUAAGACCGUACCCCAAACCGACACAGGUGGGCAGGUAGAGCAUACCGAGGCGCUUGAGAGAACGAUGUUGAAGGAACUCGGCAAAUUGCCCCCGUAACUUCGGGAGAAGGGGGACCUCCGUUUAGGCAACUAGACGGGGGUGGCACAGACCAGGGGGUGGCGACUGUUUAUUAAAAACACAGGGCUCUGCGAAGUAGAUAAUACGACGUAUAGGGUCUGACGCCUGCCCGGUGCCGGAAGGUUAAAAGGAGGUGUGAGAGCUCCGAAUUGAAGCCCCGGUAAACGGCGGCCGUAACUAUAACGGUCCUAAGGUA
rnacentral:rRNA from 1 species